CUGGCCUCAAAUCAGGUAGGAUUACCCGCUGAACUUAAGCAUAUCAAUA
rnacentral:rRNA from 1 species